GGCUGCAACUCGCCUACAUNAAGUCGGAAUUGCUAGUAAUCGCGGAUCAGCAUGCCGCGGUGAAUACGUUCCCGGGCCUUGUACACACCGCCCGUCACACCAUGGGAGUCGGUAACACCCGAAGCCUGUAGUCUAACCGCAAGGGGGACGCAGUCGAAGGUGGGAUUGAUGACUGGGGUGAAGUCGUAACAAGGUACC
rnacentral:rRNA from 1 species